CAGACAUCCUAAACCCUGAACACAGCACAGGGAGAGAUUUGUCACAUCGGGACGGCAGAUAGAAGAAGAGGAUAAAGAGACCGAGGUGCAGAGGGAACAGGGUGAAGAGAAAGGAGUAGAAGGAGGGUGGCCUCCAGCCCAGCUUCAAAGCUGGACUCAGCCUGGUUUGCUUGGACUGUCGGUUUCAUGAAGGCGUGUCUCUGUGAUGUUCAUUAGUGCCACUUGUGCCUAAAAUGAGUGAAGUUAGGGAGCACUACACUGACUACAGCCGGGUCACGUGGCUUAUACUUCAUAGUGGAGGAAACAAAGAGUUCUGCGAAGACUCCUAUGCACAGGACUUAAACAAUGCAAGCAGUAAUUACAGAAUAUGAAUCCAACGGUAAACACACAGGAUGAAUCGGAGAGGGAGAGCGACUAAAGACUUGGAAGAUUUGACCUGGAAGGGCUGGAAGUGAGAAUUCACACAUCGAGGCCUAUUCCCAAGAAUUGGGAGGCUCCCUUUCUCUAAGCAUCCCUUGGUUGUAUGCAUCAUAAGAGGGAGGACACUAUACAGAUGAUUCAGCUGGAGCUAAGUGAACUACUUAGAAAGAAAAGGAGAGAACUCUUUCAUUUGUAGCCUUAUGGCUUCAAAUAUAUUUCUAAGAGACAGAAAAAUGUGGCAAGAACCAGACCGUCUUUAGAAGAAAUAAUUACUAUUUCGCUUAGGUGAGGCUUCACAAUCACUUUACAAAGUAAUUUUGUACACAUAUAUCAUUUCACAAUUUAAACUAUAUGUUGUUUGUGGAUUUGAACUUAGAUAACAGCCUUCAUAGGUACAGCUUGCCUCAAUUUCCUUAAUACAUAUUAGCUAGUUCUUCCUUUGAUGAUUAAGAUAGCCUUUUAUGUAUAAAAUAUACCGUUCUGUUUCAGUUAAGCCCCAAAUUAUUAAUUUUGGAUAACUGAAUAUUUUCAAAGAAUCCAAAUAUCCUUAGAAUACUAAUACUUUCACUAUACAUCUGUUUAAAAAUGAAUACAAAUGAACUUUCACUACUCCCUGGUUUUGAAGGAAGCCCAUUCUUCCCAAGCCAUACCAAGUGAGAAAUGUUGCCUGCACUAUGUGCCUUUCUCACAAAACUGAUGCCCUGUGGCAAAGCAGGAAGAUCAAAUUAUAUGAAGAAUGAGAACAAAGUUAUCCCCCAGGUUUUGUCAUUUCUAGAACAAGACAGACUAUUUUUAGGUUUUCAAAAUUCAUUACUGAAUUUUGCAUCAUUACUUUUAAACAGGACCUAUGCUCAAAUGACUUGGUUGAUUCACACAGUUUUUGGCCAAAAUGUACUAUGAACACUUUUUGGAGGUUCAUAAUAUCACGUUUAUUUUAAUGCACAAUUUUGAAUAUCCCAAGAACACACUGGGCAAAUGUCUUUUAAUCCUAAGAAGUUCAAGGCAUUUAAAUGAGGCCUUAAAUUUCAGAAUACUGAGAUUUUUAUCUUUAUAAAGUUGACUUUAUCUUCGCUGUCCACCCUACUAGUUUUAGAACCUGGAAUUUGAUUCUGUCUGUACAAUCUUCCAUUUUUUCUUCUUAUCUGUGACUCCAUUUUAAGAUCCAUGACAAAAUAGCUGUAUGAAAAAUAAUGAAAUUCCUCCUUUGGUGAUAAUAUAAAUGGGAAAUGUACAUCCUGAAAUGUUUUGCAUGAGCGGAUUUAUUCAUAUUAAUUAUGGUUCAUAUAUAAUUCAUUUGAAAAGAUUCUCCUACAGCUUUUAGAAAUGAAAUCUCUAAAAAAUGGAAACAAAUGACAAAUAGUGCACGCAUACAUAUGUGUAGUGUGUGAGUACUCAUUAGGGAAAGUAACAUUUCAGAGUUUAAUGUGGUAUUGCUCUCCUUUAUAAUACUUAUCAGUGUUAGCUAAUCUGAAGGUGCAGCUACAAACUACAGUACUCAGUCAUUAGUGUUUGUGAGAGCUCUUCACGUGGAGGGCAUUGAACUAGAAUUUCCAACUUCAUGGUAUAGACGUCCUCUAGGUAUAUUUUAUGCAUUUCGAACACUAUUGGCUUCAAUUUUUGAAUGAGAAAUAAAUUCCAAAAGUAGUAAAGUCAAAAGAAGUGGUGUCUCUGGGGGUGAGUUGGGUGAGGAUCCUGUGUGAGAUAACAAAAGGAGAUGAAGGUGAGGAAAUGGCUAGCUUCUCAUGCACUGUUUUAGCCACCUUAUGUGAAGAGUACACCUUAACAGUUAGGUUGGCGGAGGGACAGCAUUAGGAAAAGUAGCUAAUGCAUGCUGGGCUUAAUACCUGGGUAAUGAGUUGAUAGGUGUAGCAAACCACAAUGGCACAUGUUUACCUAUGUAACAAACCUGUACAUCCUGCACAUGUACCCCAGAACUAAAAAUGAAAAUAAAAAUGUUAGGUCCAGGGAAAGCUGCCUCUUCUGGCUGGUCCACAGAAUGAUAAUGUGUUGCAACAUGAGGCCAGGCAAUGAAAUAAUGCAAUGAACUGCAAAGAGCCACAUGAACUAAUGGUAAUAAUAAUAAUAAAAGAAAAUCAACAGCAAAAGAAUCCAUUAAAAAAUGUCUUCG
rnacentral:lncRNA from 10 species